rnacentral:lncRNA from 1 species
GCUAGAUGCUACCACUAUUUAUAGGACAAGAAUCCUGAUAUAAGAUAAAUCUCUAUUGCACAGAAGACCAUGUUGAAAUCCUCAAUCAUAUGAAAAGAAUAAGACUUAGAACAGCAUAUUAUUGUUCCUAAAGGAGUGUUUGAUAGCAUGUAAUCUUGAUAGAAUUACAUAUAAUUUUGCAACAAGUGAUCAGAUUACACUGUUUGUUUCGUUAUUUUCACAGAUAAUGCUGCAUUAUAUGUAAUACAGCAUUAUUUAAAAAAGACGUAAUCUAA